CCUACGGGGGGCAGCAGUGGGGAAUAUUGGGCAAUGGAGGCAACUCUGACCCAGCAACGCCGCGUGAAUGAUGAAGGUCUUCGGAUUGGAAAGUUCUUUUCUAAGGGAAGUAGAAAGUGACGGUACCUUAGGAAUAAGCCUCGGCUAACUACGUGCCAGCAGCCGCGGUAAUACGUAGGAGGCAAGCGUUAUCCGGAAUGACUGGGCGUAAAGGGUGCGUAGGUGGUUUGACAAGUUAGUAGCGAAACUCCGGGGCUCAACUUCGGAACUACUACUAAAACUGUUGGACUUGAGUGCAGGAGGGGCAAUCGGAAUUCCUAGUGUAGCGGUGGAAUGCGUAGAUAUUAGGAGGAACACCAGUGGCGAAGGCGGAUUGCUAGACUGUAACUGACACUGAGGCACGAAAGCGUGGGGAGCAAACAGGAUUAGAUACCCGUGUAGUC
rnacentral:rRNA from 1 species